AUUGAACGCUGGCGGCAUGCUUUACACAUGCAAGUCGAACGGUAACAGGUUAAGCUGACGAGUGGCGAACGGGUGAGUAAUGCAUCGGAACGUGCCCGAUCGUGGGGGAUAACGCAGCGAAAGCUGCGCUAAUACCGCAUACGAUCUGAGGAUGAAAGCGGGGGACCGUAAGGCCUCGCGCGAUCGGAGCGGCCGAUGUCAGAUUAGGUAGUUGGUGGGGUAAAGGCCCACCAAGCCGACGAUCUGUAGCUGGUCUGAGCGGACGACCAGCCACAAUGGGACUGAGACACGGCCCAGAGUCCUACGGGAGGCAGCAGGGGGGAAUUUUGGACAAUGGGCGAAAGCCUGAUCCAGCAAUGCCGCGUGCAGGAAGAAGGCCUUCGGGUUGUAAACUGCUUUUGUACGGAGCGAAAAGGUCCUUUCUAAUACAAGGGGCUCAUGACGGUACCGUAAGAAUAAGCACCGGCUAACUACGUGCCAGCAGCCGCCGCGGUAA
rnacentral:rRNA from 1 species